rnacentral:rRNA from 1 species
UACGUAGGUGGCAAGCGUUGUCCGGAAUUAUUGGGCGUAAAGCGCGCGCAGGUGGUUUCUUAAGUCUGAUGUGAAAGCCCCCGGCUCAACCGGGGAGUGCGGCUGCGAACUGGGUUUCUUGAGGACGAUAGAGGAGAGUGGAAUUCCUGGUGUAGCGGUGAAAUGCGUAGAUAUCAGGAGGAACACCCGAGGCGAAGGCGGCUCUCUGGGUCGUACCUGACGCUGAGGCGCGAAAGCGUGGGGAGCGAACGGG